AUGCCCUUGGCGUGGCAGAGCAGGCUAGAGCGAACCGUUGGUGCCCUCGCCAUCGUCCUGGCCGGCCGGCUGUGGCGGGGCUGUGGGGGCGCUAAGGGAACGGGCCACAUCACAGAUUUCAUUGAUGAUGACGUCCGCAUAGAUGUCGUUGCCGUCGACGCGUUGAAAGGUGAGGUGGUGUGGGACGUGAUGGAGGGCUUCCACUUUGACGAGCACAAAAAUGCAGGAGAACUCACUGCCAUGAAGGCAGGCGUGCUCCAGCCUGAACAGAUUGGCGAAGCCCACAACGCUAGCCGCCAACUCCUCCUAUUCCACAGCUCCAGCGGCAUCUUCUCCAGCGAGAUGCUCACCACAUGGCGAUAG
rnacentral:rRNA from 1 species